rnacentral:tRNA from 1 species
GCGCGAGUGGUGAAAUGGUAUACACGCCUGUCUGAGGGGCAGGUGCCGCAAGGCGUGGAGGUUCGACUCCUCUCUCGCGCA